GAGGAUUUUUUGCAAUGCGCGCAAGCGUGACAGAGCGAGCCAGAGUGUUUUUCCUUUAUGGAAAAACUUUUGCCUAAUGUAAAAAGUUAGGAGAAUAAGGACUGGGCAAGACCGGUGCCAGCCGCCGCGGUAAUACCGGCGGUCCAAGUCGCAGCCACAUUUAUUGGGUCUAAAACAUCCGUAGCUUGUCUUAUAAGUCCCUUGUGAAAUCUUACAUCUUAAGUGUAAGGCGGGCAAGAGAUACUGUGAGACUUGAGUCUGGGAGACGCAGGAAGUACAGCUGAAGUAGUGGUAAAAUACGUUAAUCUCAGCCGGACUAACAAUUGGCGAAAGCAUCCUGCGAGAACAGUUCUGACAGUGAGGGAUGAAGGCUAGGGUCGCAAAAUGGAUUAGAUACCCAUGUAGUCCUAGCAGUAAACACUGCACACUAAACAUUGGUUUCUCCUCGAGAGAAAUCAGUGCUGUAGGGAAGCCGUAGAGUGCGCUACCUGGGAAGUAUAGUCGCAAGACCGAAACU
rnacentral:rRNA from 1 species